rnacentral:rRNA from 1 species
UACAGAGGUCCCAAGCGUUGUUCGGAUUCACUGGGCGUAAAGGGUGCGUAGGCGGUCAGGUAGGUCUGAUGUGAAAUCUCUGGGCUUAACCCAGAAAUGGCAUUGGAUACUAUUUGGCUUGAGAGUUGGAGGGGGGACUGGAAUUCUUGGUGUAGCAGUGAAAUGCGUAGAUAUCAAGAGGAACACCAGUGGCGAAGGCGAGUCCCUGGACAACUUCUGACGCUGAGGCACGAAAGCUAGGGGAGCAAACAGG